rnacentral:snRNA from 1 species
GAAUGGGGGGCCAGAUAUCUGGCUGUGACAUGUAUCACUCCAUUGAUCAGCAAGGUUACUCCAGCUGAUCUGGCUGGCUGUGCAGGUAUCCCUUCCUCUCCCCUCUGUGUCUUCCUCCCAAAGCUGUGUGCGUGGUGGAAGAGACUGUUCUUUGGUGGAGGGUAUCCACAUAGCUGUGCUCCUCCGUGAGGACCUCUCAACAAGUACUCACAAAGGAGACUACAAAAGUAUACAAAAUAAAGAAG